UACAGAGGUCUCAAGCGUUGUUCGGAUUCAUUGGGCGUAAAGGGUGCGUAGGUGGCGGGGUAAGUCAGGUGUGAAAUCUCGGAGCUCAACUCCGAAACUGCACUUGAUACUGCCUUGCUUGAGUACUGGAGAGGAGAUUGGAAUUACGGUGUAGCAGUGAAAUGCGUAGAUAUCGUAAGGAAGACCAGUGGCGAAGGCGAAUCUCCGGACAGUUACUGACACUGAGGCACGGAAGGCCAAGGGGAGCAAACGGG
rnacentral:rRNA from 1 species